rnacentral:rRNA from 1 species
UACGUAGGGGCGAGCGUUGUCCGGAUUUAUUGGGCGUAAAGAGCUCGUAGGCGGUUCGAUAAGUCGGACGUGAAAUCUCCACGCUCAACGUGGAGGGGCCGUUCGAUACUGUCGUGACUCGAGUCCGGUAGGGGAGUGUGGAAUUCCCGGUGUAGCGGUGAAAUGCGCAGAGAUCGGGAGGAACACCCGUAGCGAAGGCGGCACUCUGGGCCGAUACUGACGCUGAGGCGCGAAAGCCAGGGGAGCGAACGGG